AGAGAGAGAGAGAGAUUAGUUGUGAUUAUGCUGUAAUACUCCAGUGUCUUUUUAUUAGAUUAAUCCCAGAUGACAUUGUGUCUAUCUGUUUUAAAAGGGAUUGAAUGUCUAAUGUCUCUUUCUUUUGCUCUUUCAGAUUCUUCUUGAAAUUCUUCCUCAAGUGCAAUCAGAACUGCUUGAAGAAUGCAGGAAACCCAAGAGACAUGCGCAGAUUCCAGGUUGUUGUAUCAACAACGGUCAACGUGGACGGUCACGUCCUGGCGGUCUCAGAUAACAUGUUUGUCCAUAACAACUCCAAGCACGGCAGAAGGGCUCGACGUCUAGACCCUUCUGAAGGUACGGACCCUCCUUAUCUCUAUCAUGCAGCUACCCCCUGCAUCAAAGCCAUCAGCCCUAGUGAAGGAUGGACCACGGGAGGAGCCACAGUCAUCAUCAUAGGAGAUAACUUCUUUGACGGUCUCCAAGUCGUGUUCGGGACGAUGCUUGUGUGGAGUGAGCUGAUUACACCCCACGCCAUCAGAGUGCAGACCCCACCCAGGCACAUCCCAGGAGUCGUGGAAGUCACCCUCUCCUACAAGUCCAAGCAGUUCUGCAAAGGAGCUCCUGGACGAUUUGUCUACACUGCUUUGAACGAGCCAACCAUCGACUACGGCUUCCAGAGGCUACAGAAGGUCAUUCCCAGACAUCCAGGAGAUCCAGAGAGGCUACCGAAGGAGGUGUUGCUGAAGAGAGCAGCUGACCUUGUGGAGGCUCUGUAUGGGAUGCCCCACAACAACCAGGAGAUCAUCCUGAAGCGAGCGGCCGACAUCGCCGAGGCCCUGUACAGCGUCCCGCGCAACCACAACCAGAUCCCCUCGCUGGGCAACACGGCGUCGCACGGCGGCAUGAUGGGGGUCAACUCGUUCGGCAGCCAGCUCGCCGUCAACGUCUCAGAAACAUCACAGGGUAAUGACCAGGUAGGAUACAGCCGUCAAACCAGCAGUGUGUCCCCUCGAGGCUACGUCCCCAGCAGCACACCACAACAGGCCAACUACAACACCGUUAGCAACAGCAUGAACGGCUACGGCAACCCCAUGUCCAAUCUGGGAGUACCCAGUUCACCAGGCUUCCUCAACGGCUCCUCUGCCAACUCCCCCUACGGCAGUAAGUAUCAAGUAGUGCCGUCGAGCCCCACCAUGGCAGCCUCUUCGGUCAGCCUCUCUACAAACUGUAGCAGUACACACGGCAUUUUCUCAUUCUCACCUGCCAAUGUCAUCUCUGCAGUGAAACAAAAGAGCGCCUUUGCCCCUGUUGUAAGGCCCCAAGCUUCUCCACCACCUUCUUGCACCAGUGCAAAUGGCAAUGGACUUCAAGCCUGGGUUAAACGAGAGUACGAGUGGACAUAAAUGAUAUAUUUGAGGAUGGAUGAUGAUUGCGUGGACGGAUGGAUGGAUUGAUGGGUACAUUAUGCCUGCAUGGAUGUCCGGACUCGUUGUCCCACCCAUGUAAAACGAACACUCUCCCCCCCCCCCCCCCGAGCACCAGUCGUCACAAAAGGGGCUGCAGGGGGACUUGUUUAGUACCCUUUAGAAGAUUCUGGUUGAAUCUGUGUCAUCAAUCAUGAAUAAAAUCAACAACAUAUUCUGUUUAUUCAGAGGAGAAAAAAAAAGACUUGUUUCAAAAGAGUUUAUUCAAACAAUUAUGAAUUGUGACAUGCAAGCCACUCUGUCAUUAACAAUUUAAUUUUAUUGACUGAUUUCUUGUCAUAUUUUACCAUUUCUCAGUCUUGAAGAAAGGAAGGAAGGAAAAAUUGCUAUUUUGUAUAAAAAAGUGUCUGGUUUGAUCUUGGCUUCGUCUAGUUGUUGCUAUGUGUUGGGAGAAUCUUUGAGGAUGAUCAGUUUGAUGAACAACGCUGACGACAGUACCUCAGAACAUGUUUGUCUUCGCACGAUGCACAACAGUUGAGCGUCUCUAUAAAUGUGAAUUCCUUAUUUCUUUCUCUUUUUUAAUUUGUGGUAAAGAGAAAAGGGGGGCCAAGACAGUGUGAACACAUUUUACAACUGGAAAUAAUAUGAAAUAUAUGAUUUAAAAUUAAAAUAAAAAAAAUAAAUAAAAAAAACAUUAACAAGGAAGAGGUAAAUACAAAAUAAUUUGAUUGGUCGACUUACUUUAUCAAAAAAAAAACAUAUUACUUUCUAACUUAUUGUAGGUAGGAAUUGUAAGUCAAUUAUUAUUAUAUAUUUUUUUGGGGCCUUCAUAAAGCACACUAACAGAGAUGAAAGGCGUCUGUCUGUCUGUUGGUAAAAAUUAACUACUUCCACUUCUGCAGCUUACAGUUUAAGCAAAUGUGUUUUUCAACUCUUUUUGCCAGCACUGUAUAAUAUUGCAUUCUUAGGCUACUGUGAAGUCUAUGUCUCUUGUAUCAGAAGGUUGUCCAUUCACUUCUGUCUCCUUAUCCCCUAAUGUGUUUUUUGUAUGUGGUUAUACAAUUGUAGACUUUUGUGAUUUUGCCAAAGUUGUAGCUAAAUAUUUAUACACUUGUCUUGAAUUUUUUUUUUUUUUUUUUCAGAUCCACUUAAAAUAUUUAGGACAAGAGUUUUUAAAUUCCUUAUAGAAACAGUGAGGGGUAAAUCAUCGUACACAUUGCAACACUUUCACAUAAACACUUGCGGGUUACUAAGGGAAUUUUUUUUGUAACAUAUCAAUUAUAAAUAUUGUAUUUAUCUUCGAAUUUUUUUUUGUACAAUUGCUUUCGAUCAUUUAAUUUGAUCUUGUACGUAUUGUUUGUCAUGGCCAGAUAUUGUGAUAUAAUACAGAACAUUAAGCCAAUAACUUUUGCUUACAUUCACUUAUUUUUUUUGUUGUUGUAUCGAUAGAUCGCAAUGUCAAAACAUUUAAUUUGUAUCUCAAAUUGACAGUUUACUUUGUCAAAAAUAAUUCAUUUUGUUGGUCAUUGUUUUUUUUCUUUUUGAGGAAAAAAAAACAGUCAAAGUUCAUUGUUUAUUUUUGUAUUAAUAUAAGUUAUAUAAAACAAAAUACUUUUUUUUUCUUUUUUGGAAUAAAACUGUUUGUUGUAUAGUCAAAUGACUUGUUUGUGACACAUGGCUGUAUCAAUAAUAGUAGACUGUGUGCAUGUCCAGCCGCCCCCCUCCCUCCCCCAGAGGUAUGAUUCAAUUCGUGGUCGUACAUUUUGGUUUUUCGUAGAAUGUAAAAAGUCAUUUUUACCUGCUACCCCAUAUCACUUAGCAGAACUGUCUUAAAAACAGGGAUUUCAAAUUUAAAAAAAAACACACAUGAAAAACAAUCUAAUCUGGAUUAGAAAAUACAUAUUAAGAAUCACUGAUGUUUAUUACAAUCUGUCAGGAGAAGCUCUUUGGAAGGCCCGAGAGUGAUCUGCUGGUUGAAUGACAUCAAUCUGUACCUACACCACAAUGUCAAUCCUUGCUCCAUGAACAUGAUCUAUGGUGUAAAAAAAAAAAAAAAAAA